ACUUUUAAAGGAAAACAGAC
rnacentral:tRNA from 1 species